GAUGAACGCUGACAGAAUGCUUAACACAUGCAAGUCAACUUGAACUUCGGUUUGGGUGGCGGACGGGUGAGUAACGCGUAAAGAACUUGCCUCACAGCUAGGGACAACAUUUGGAAACGAAUGCUAAUACCUGAUAUUAUGAUUAUAUGGCAUCGUAUAAUUAUGAAAGCUAUAUGCGCUGUGAGAGAGCUUUGCGUCCCAUUAGCUAGUUGGAGAGGUAACAGCUCACCAAGGCGAUGAUGGGUAGCCGGCCUGAGAGGGUGAUCGGCCACAAGGGGACUGAGACACGGCCCUUACUCCUACGGGAGGCAGCAGUGGGGAAUAUUGGACAAUGGACCGAGAGUCUGAUCCAGCAAUUCUGUGUGCACGAUGAAGUUUUUCGGAAUGUAAAGUGCUUUCAGUUGAGAAGAAAAAAAUGACGGUACCAACAGAAGAAGUGACGGCUAAAUACGUG
rnacentral:rRNA from 1 species